rnacentral:rRNA from 1 species
AGGCGUAAUGAAAGUAAAGGAUAAAAAGAUAGAAGAAGUUAAGCAAUUUUCAUCUUUGAUUCUUUUAUCCUAGGGAAGAUGGAUAUCUUGUUUUAAAAAAAAAUUUUUUUUUUUUUUAAACAUAGAUCUCCCGCAUUCCCAGGGCGCUUGGACUUGCUUUGCAAGUCUAUGCGCACCUAGAGGGUACACGAUGACACCCGAAAGAUGGUGAACUAUGCCUGGCCAGGCCGAAGCCAGGGGAAACCCUGGGGGAGGUCCGCAGCGAUUCUGACGUGCAAAUCGAUCGUUAGAGCUGGGUAUAGGGGGGAAAGACCAAUCGAACCAUCUAGUAGCUGGUUCCCUCUGAAGUUUCCCUCAGGAUAGCUUGCGCUCGAUUUUAAAGAGUUUCAUCCGGUAGAGCGAAUGAUUAGAGGCAUUGGGGUCGAAACGACCUCAACCUAUUCUCAAACUCCAAAUAGAUGAGACCCCAGGCUUUCUUAAAGAGAGAAAAAAGAAAAUUUUUAA